CGUCUCUCUAAAAUUGCUGGUCGCCGCGGCAAGCUCGCGAAAUGUGAAACUCCGAGCGCCACUGGCGUCUGUAGUCUUUCUACCAUUCACCUUUCUAUUACCAUGUGAACUCGACCUUCCCCUCCCGCUACCUGAGGAAUCAGAAGAAUGGCGUGGGGUAGAUCGAAGGCCAUUUUCAGUGUCGAUCUUAGUAUCAUUUUUGUGAGAACCUAUGCAAGAAAAGCACCUCAUCUCUUGAUAAUAGAACAAUUCUCACAAUCAACAAACCACUGAACAACACUACAUUUAAAAAUUCAUCGGAACCCUAACCCUCGACCAGGGGGACACGCAAAGAAAAAACCUUUAUUUCGUUUCCUUCCCCC
rnacentral:misc_RNA from 1 species